ACGGCUCAGUAACACGUAGUCAACAUGCCCAGAGGACGUGGAUAACCUCGGGAAACUGAGGAUAAACCGCGAUAGGUCAUAUUUACUGGAAUGUUUUAUGGCUCAAAUCUACAUGGCCUCUGGAUUGGACUGCGGCCGAUCAGGCUGUUGGUGAGGUAAUGGCCCACCAAACCUGUUACCGGUACGGGCUCUGAGAGGAGGAGCCCGGAGAUGGGCACUGAGACAAGGGCCCAGGUCCUAUGGGGCGCAGCAGGCGCGAAACCUCUGCAAUAGGCGAAAGCCUGACAGGGUUACUCUGAGUGAUUCCCGCUAAGGGAAUCUUUUGGCAUCUCUAAAAACGAUGCAGAAUAAGGGGUGGGCAAGUCUGGUGUCAGCCGCCGCGGUAAUACCAGCACCCCGAGUGGUCGGGACGAUUAUUGGGCCUAAAGCAUCCGUAGCCGGUCUUGCAAGUCUUCCGUUAAAUCCAGCUGCUUAACGGAUGGGCUGCGGAAGAUACUACAAGACUAGGAGGCGGAAGAGGCAAGCGGUACUCAGUGGGUAGGGGUAAAAUCCUCUGAUCCAUUGAAGACCACCAGUGGCGAAGGCGGCUUGCCAGAACGCGCUCGACGGUGAGGGAUGAAAGCUGGGGGAGCAAACCGGAUUAGAUACCCGGGUAGUCCCAGCUGUAAACGAUGCAGACUCGGUGAUGGGCCAGCUUCAUGCCGGCUCAGUGCCGCAGGGAAGCCGUUAAGUCUGCCGCCUGGGGAGUACGGUCGCAAGACUGAAACUUAAAGGAAUUGGCGGGGGAGCAC
rnacentral:rRNA from 1 species